rnacentral:tRNA from 1 species
GCAUUAAUGGGGUAGUGGUAACCUGGGUCGUUGCCACUCGCGGCAGUAUCGACCCGCCGGGGGUUCGAUUCCCCCUUAAUGCA